GUGGGCAUCUUACUAGACAGUGCUGGAUUUCUUGGAUCUAUUCUAACACUGUCUGGUAACGAUGUUUAA
rfam:Colinus virginianus strain Texas jcf7180006227078, whole genome shotgun sequence.